GUGCCAGCAGCCGCGGUAAGACGAACCGUGCAAACGUUGUUCGGAAUCACUGGGCUUAAAGGGCGCGUAGGCGGCAGAUCAAGUCCGGGGUGAAAUCCUGCAGCUUAACUGUAGAAGUGCCUUGGAUACUGAUUUGCUCGAGGGAGGUAGGGGUCUGUGGAACUUCUGGUGGAGCGGUGAAAUGCGUUGAUAUCAGAAGGAACGCCGGUGGCGAAAGCGACGGACUGGAUCUCUUCUGACGCUGAGGCGCGAAAGCUAGGGGAGCAAACGGGAUUAGAUACCCCAGUAGUCC
rnacentral:rRNA from 1 species